CCUGCACUCUCCCCAGGAUCAACACUUUCUUGUUUUUAUUAGGGCUCUUUUUUUUCUCCAAGCGCUUUAUAAAAUUUGUGUUCAUAUGAAUAUAAUUAUUUUUUAUCCCAGUGACCUGGAAAGCACGGCAGCGAGAAGCACCGCAGUGUGUGGCGGAGAAGACAUUUUCUCUGGGAGGAGACACCCCAGAGUGGUGUCCUCAUCUGCAGUUGGAAGGUCCUGAGAUGCCACCAUUCACACAAAAGACGAUUUCCGCAAAGCAGUGUUUCAGCCGUCUCUGUCUAGUGUUGCCUAUGAUCCAUCCUAGCUGAAGUGCUUUGGCAGGGAGGAGGAGGGUUGUUUUGAAUCCCUCCAUCUUUGAAGGAUGAGUAGUCGGGUUGUGGAGCUUGGUUUGGCAGGGAGAGAUGCUUCUGUGCUUAGAAAUACACUGCAUGUUUUUUUAUAGACAGUGCUUUAGUGUAGUGGACAUAGUCAUGCCAAGACUGUGGGGAGUAUUCAUAAUGGCCAUAGGCAAUAUAUACCCGUAGCAGUCGUAUUAUUGUAUGAGUUGUAGUGGUGAAAUGAUCAGGAUUGCUAUUAUAGUAAUUUGAAGGAAUAGUGGAUUUAGUAGAAGUAAAAAUAUUAGUAUUCACAUUAGUAUAGUUAUUCGUAGAUGGAAUAUUAGAAUGAAUGGUGUAUUGUAAUGAUGUAGUAAUGUAGUAGUAGUAGUAGUAGUAGUAGUAGUAGUAGUAAUAGUGGUAGUAGUAGC